rnacentral:rRNA from 1 species
GACGAACGCUGGCGGCGUGCUUAACACAUGCAAGUCGAACGGAAAGGCCCUGCUUUUGUGGGGUGCUCGAGUGGCGAACGGGUGAGUAACCCGUGAGUAACCUGUCCUUGACUUUGGGAUAACUUCAGGAAACUGGGGCUAAUCCCGGAUAGGAGCUCUUGCUGCUUGGUGGGGGUUGGACAGUUUCGGCGGUUGGGGAUGGACUCGCGGCUUAUCAGCUUGUUGGUGGGGUAGUGGCUUACCAAGGCUUUGACGGGUAGCCGGCCUGAGAGGGUGACCGGCCACAUUGGAACGGAGAUGCGGCCCAGACUCCUACGGGAGGCAGCGGUGGAGAAUAUUGCACAAUGGGCGGAAGCCUAAUGCAGCAACGCCGCGUGCGGGAUGACGGCCUUCGGGUUGUAAACCGCUUUCGCCUGUGACGAAGCGUGAGUGACGGUAAUGGGUAAAGAAGCACCGGCUAACUACGUG